AGAGUUUGAUCAUGGCUCAGGACGAACGCUGGCGGCGUGCUUAAUACAUGCAAGUCGAGCGAGGUUACUGUUUUGGAUCCCUUCGGGGUGAAGAAGCUUUAACCUAGCGGCGGACGGGUGAGUAACGCGUGGGCAACCUACCCCAAAGUCCGGGAUAACAGUGGGAAACCGCUGCUAAUACCGGAUGGCUUUACCUGAGGGCAUCCUUGGGUAAAGAAAGGUUACGCUUUGGGAUGGGCCCGCGUCCCAUUAGCUAGUUGGUGAGGUAACGGCUCACCAAGGCGACGAUGGGUAGCCGGCCUGAGAGGGUGAACGGCCACACUGGGACUGAGACACGGCCCAGACUCCUACGGGAGGCAGCAGUAGGGAAUAUUGCGCAAUGGGCGGAAGCCUGACGCAGCGACGCCGCGUGAGCGAAGAAGGCCUUCGGGUCGUAAAGCUCUGUCCUUGGGGAAGAAGGCGAAAGCUUGACGGUACCCAAGAAGAAAGCCCCGGCUAACUACGUGCCAGCAGCCGCGGUAAU
rnacentral:rRNA from 1 species